rnacentral:rRNA from 1 species
CUGGUUGAUCCUGCCAGUAGUCAUAUGCUUGUCUCAAAGACUAAGCCAUGCAUGUGUAAGAAUAAACGACUUUAUUCUGUGAAUCGGCGUACAGCUCAUUAUAUCAGUUAGAAUUUAUUUGAUGGUAACUGCUACAUGGAUAACCGUAGUAAUUCUAGAGCUAAUACAUGCGCGAAAAUCUUGACUCUUUUUGGGAAGGGAUGUAUUUAUUAGUUAAAAAAUCAAUCCGGCCUCUGGUCGGUUUUGAUGGUGACUCUUGAUAACUGUUCGGAUCCUUGGUCUCGUAUCAGGGACGGUUCAUUCAAAUUUCUGCCCUAUCAGCUUUCGAAGGUAGUGAAUUGGACUACCUUGGCGGUAACGGGUAACGGAGAAUUAGGGUUCGAUUCCGGAGAGGGAGCCUGAGAAACGGCUACCACAUCCAAGGAAGGCAGCAGGCGCGCAAAUUACCCAAUCCUGAAACGGGGAGGUAGUGACAAGAAAUAACAAUAAUGGGCUUUUUCAAGUCUGUUAAUUGGAAUGAGUACAAUUUAAACCACUUAACGAAUGCCAUUGGAGGGCAAGUCUGGU